CUACAUAGUUUUUUAUAUACAUGUAUAUAUUAUAUUGUUAAUAUUUUUAUUUAUCCUUCAAUUUGUAAAUUUUUAAUAUAUAAAACCUUGUUUUGCAACUUAAUGGUGUAGAAAAAUAAAAAUAGUCACAUGGUAGAAUAUAUCUGGAUGUUUGUACUCAGCUUUAAAUUCGGUGUAUCUUUUCAAGUUUUACUUCAUGGUUAAC
rnacentral:lncRNA from 1 species